GAUUAACGCUAGCGGCAGGCCUAAUACAUGCAAGUCGAACGGUAACAGGUCCAGCAAUGGAUGCUGACGAGUGGCGCACGGGUGCGUAACACGUAUGCAAUCUACCCUUAACUGGGGGAUAGCCCCGAGAAAUCGGGAUUAAUACCCCAUAAUAUUAUGAAGCGGCAUCACUUUAUAAUUAAAGCUCCGGCGGUUUUGGAUGAGCAUGCGCGACAUUAGCUAGUUGGUGAGGUAACGGCUCACCAAGGCUGCGAUGUCUAGGGGUUCUGAGAGGAUUCACCCCCACACGGGUACUGAGACACGGCCCAGACUCCUACGGGAGGCAGCAGUAAGGAAUAUUGGUCAAUGGACGCAAGUCUGAACCAGCCAUGCCGCGUGAAGGAAGACGGCCCUACGGGUUGUAAACUUCUUUUGUACAGGAAAAAACCACCGGUCGUGAACCGGUGCUGAUGGUACUGUAAGAAUAAGCAUCGGCUAACUCCGUGCCAGCAGCCGCCGUAACAC
rnacentral:rRNA from 1 species